GGGCGUGUAGCUCAGGGGCAGAGCGUUCGCUUUGCAUGUUACCAAAACAUCAAAAUGCGAAAGGUCUAGGGUUCAAAUCCCUACUCGUCCA